UGGCGAGUGGCGAACGGGUGAGUAAUGCAUCGGAACGUACCGGAAGGUGGGGAUAACGUAGCGAAAGUUACGCUAAUACCGCAUAUUCUGUGAGCAGGAAAGAGGGGGAUCGCAAGACCUCUCGCUUUCGGAGCGGCCGAUGUCGGAUUAGCUAGUUGGCGGGGUAAAGGCCCACCAAGGCAACGAUCCGUAGCGGGUCUGAGAGGAUGACCAGCCACACUGGGACUGAGACACGGCCCAGACUCCUACGGGAGGCAGCAGUGGGGAAUAUUGCGCAAUGGGCGAAAGCCUGACGCAGCGACGCCGCGUGGGUGAUGAAGGCCUUCGGGUCGUAAAGCCCUGUCGCAGGGGAAGAAUAAGCAUCGGUAUAAUACGCCGGUGCCCUGACGGUACCCUGCAAGAAAGCACCGGCUAACUCCGUG
rnacentral:rRNA from 1 species